rnacentral:ncRNA from 1 species
GAAAAAAUACUGACCAGAAUAGUAGAUGAGUUGCUUCGUUUUAGAGAGUUUCCGGUUGCUGUAAGGAAAUAGCGAAGGAUCAUUGAACACGCCUGUGAAUUAUUUUUCUGAAAUCAACCGUUUAGCUUAACGAAAUUAAGUUCGUUUUCUGAAUUCAGUAGGAAAAAUCGGAGAGCCCGUUAUCGCUUCUUAGUUUAUCUAACUAACAGAGGUUUUUACUGUGAAGUAAAAACAAAUCUGAGGUGGGACCACGUGAAACUUAUUCUCGUCCUCUUG